ensembl:Mt_tRNA
GUAAAAAUAGUUUAACAAAAACACUAGAUUGUGAAUCUAAAGACAGAGAUUUAAACUCUCCUUUUUACC